rnacentral:rRNA from 1 species
UGGGGAAUUUUGCACAAUGGGGGAAACCCUGAUGUAGCGACGCCGCGUGAUUUAGAAGGCCUUCGGGUUGUAAAAAUCUUUUCUAUGGGAAGAAAAUGACAGUACCAUAGGAAUAAGGACCGGCUAAUUACGUGCCAGCAGCCGCGGUAAUACGUAAGGUCCGAGCGUUGUCCGGAAUCAUUGGGCGUAAAGGGUACGUAGGCGGGUAAGCAAGUUAGAAGUGAAAUCCUAUAGCUCAACUAUAGUAAGCUUUUAAAACUGCUCAUCUUGAGGUAUGGAAGGGAAAGUGGAAUUCCUAGUGUAGCGGUGAAAUGCGCAGAUAUUAGGAGGAAUACCGGUGGCGAAGGCGACUUUCUGGCCAUAACCUGACGCUGAGGUACGAAAGCGUGGGUAGCAAACAGG